GCCAGGCACCGUGGCGCAUGCCUGAAAUCCCAGCAGCUCUGGAGGCUGAGGCAGGAGGAUCGUGAGUUCAAAGCCAGCCUCAGCAAUGGUGAGGCACUGAGCAACUCAGUAAGACCCUGUCUCUA
rnacentral:sRNA from 1 species